rnacentral:rRNA from 1 species
AGCGAACGCUGGCGGCAGGCUUAACACAUGCAAGUCGAGCGGGCGUAGCAAUACGUCAGCGGCAGACGGGUGAGUAACGCGUGGGAACGUACCUUUUGGUUCGGAACAACCCAGGGAAACUUGGGCUAAUACCGGAUAAGCCCUUACGGGGAAAGAUUUAUCGCCGAAAGAUCGGCCCGCGUCUGAUUAGCUAGUUGGUGAGGUAACGGCUCACCAAGGCGACGAUCAGUAGCUGGUCUGAGAGGAUGAUCAGCCACAUUGGGACUGAGACACGGCCCAAACUCCUACGGGAGGCAGCAGUGGGGAAUAUUGGACAAUGGGCGCAAGCCUGAUCCAGCCAUGCCGCGUGGAGGAUGACGGCC